UCCCAAGAAGAAUAUUUUUUUCCAGUGAAACGAACACUGAAGGAUUCAAAGUGAUGUGAAUUCAUGCUUUUGAAUAGCUAUAAAACUACAAAGACUCAAGAAAGCAACUAGAAUGACCAAGAACAAAAUUCCCAAGAGGUAGCCAAAAACCAAGAUUUUCAAAAAAAAUUAAAAGGAACCACAGAUGACUCUAUGAAACAAGACAGCCAAGAGAAGGCUCUAAUACCAUGUCAAUUUUCAGCUGAAUCCCUCUCAAAGUGAGAGAGUCUUUCCAUUAUAUAGAGAAAAUAAAGAUUACACAUCCCUAAAGAUCCGCCAUUCCUAUCCCUAAAGAUCAUCUAUUCUAUCUAUACAAAUCUGCCAUUGAAUCCCUCUAAAUCUGCCUUGCUAUCCCUCCAAAUCAGCUAUUCUAUCACAAUAUUUAUUCAUAUGAUUCUACAACAAAUGUAUAUGAUCAUGCUAAUUUAUAUCACUAUAUAAUUACAUUAAUAUAUACAAUCAUUUAGUUA
rnacentral:lncRNA from 1 species